GACAACCUGGUUGAUCCUGCCAGUAGUCAUAUGCUUGUCUCAAAGAUUAAGCCAUGCAUGUCUCAGUACAAGCCAAAUUAAGGUGAAACCGCGAAAGGCUCAUUAAAUCAGUUAUGGUUCCUUAGAUCGUACCAACAUUUACUUGGAUAACUGUGGUAAUUCUAGAGCUAAUACAUGCAAACAGAGCUUCGACCGGAGACGGAAGAGGCGCUUUUAUUAGAUCAAAACCAAUCGGCGGCGGGUUCGCUUGCGGGCUCGUCGUCGUUUUCACUGACGAAUCUGAAUAACUUUCUGCUGAUCGCACGGUCUCGCACCGGCGACGCAUCUUUCAAAUGUCUGCCUUAUCAACUGUCGAUGGUAGGUUCUGUGCCUACCAUGGUUGUAACGGGUAACGGGGAAUCAGGGUUCGAUUCCGGAGAGGGAGCCUGAGAAACGGCUACCACAUCCAAGGAAGGCAGCAGGCGCGCAAAUUACCCACUCCCGGCACGGGGAGGUAGUGACGAAAAAUAACGAUACGGGACUCAUCCGAGGCCCCGUAAUCGGAAUGAGAACAAUUUAAAUCCUUUAACGAGGAUCAAUUGGAGGGCAAGUCUGGUGCCAGCAGCCGCGGUAAUUCCAGCUCCAAUAGCGUAUAUUAAAGUUGUUGCGGUUAAAAAGCUCGUAGUCGAAUCUGUGUCCCGCGCCGCCGGUUCGUCGCUCGCGGCGUUUAACUGGCGUGUCCGCGGGACGUCCUGCCGGUGGGCUUAGCCUUUUCAUUAAGGCGGCCCAAUCUUAAUCCCGCCGCGGUGCUCUUCACCGAGUGUCGAGGCGGGCCGGCACGUUUACUUUGAACAAAUUAGAGUGCUUAAAGCAGGCUAAAACUUCGCCUGAAUACUUCGUGCAUGGAAUAAUGGAAUAGGACCUCGGUUCUAUUUUGUUGGUUUUCGGAACCCCGAGGUAAUGAUUAAUAGGAACGGAUGGGGGCAUUCGUAUUGCGACGUUAGAGGUGAAAUUCUUGGAUCGUCGCAAGACGGACAGAAGCGAAAGCAUUUGCCAAAAACGUUUUCAUUGAUCAAGAACGAAAGUUAGAGGUUCGAAGGCGAUCAGAUACCGCCCUAGUUCUAACCAUAAACNAUGCCAGCUAGCGAUCCGCCGAAGUUCCUUCNAUGACUCGGCGGGCAGCUUCCGGGAAACCAAAGCUUUUGGGUUCCGGGGGAAGUAUGGUUGCAAAGCUGAAACUUAAAGGAAUUGACGGAAGGGCACCACCAGGAGUGGAGCCUGCGGCUUAAUUUGACUCAACACGGGAAACCUCACCAGGCCCGGACACCGGAAGGAUUGACAGAUUGAGAGCUCUUUCUUGAUUCGGUGGGUGGUGGUGCAUGGCCGUUCUUAGUUGGUGGAGCGAUUUGUCUGGUUAAUUCCGAUAACGAACGAGACUC
rnacentral:rRNA from 1 species